GUCUACGGCCAUACCAUCCUGAACAAGCCUGAUCCCGUCUGAUCUAGAAAGCUAAGCAGGGUCGGGCCUGGUUUGUACUUGGAUGGGAGACCACCUAGGAAGAUCAGGUGCUAUAGACA
rfam:Pteropus alecto contig23754, whole genome shotgun sequence.